GACAGAGGCCUCAAGCGUUAGGCGGAAUCACUGGGCUUAAAGCGUGUGUAGGCGGAUCGUUAAGUGUCUUGUGAAAUCCCACGGCUCACCCGUGGAACUGCUGGGCAUACUGGCGAUCUUGGGCCAACUAGGGGCAACUGGAACAAGCGGUGGGAGCGGAUGAAAUGCGUAGAUAUCGCUUGGAACGCCAACGGUGAAAACAGGUUGCUGGGGUUGUGCCGACGCUGAGACACGAAAGCCAGGGGAGCAAACGGG
rnacentral:rRNA from 1 species